rnacentral:rRNA from 1 species
UACGGGGGGGAGCAAGCGUUGUUCGGAUUUACUGGGCGUAAAGGCUCGUAGGCGGCCAACUAAGUCCGACGUGAAAUCCCCAGGCUUAACCUGGGAACUGCGUCGGAUACUGGAUGGCUUGAAUUCGGGAGAGGGAUGCAGAAUUCCAGGUGUAGCGGUGAAAUGCGUAGAUAUCUGGAGGAAUACCGGUGGCGAAGGCGGCAUCCUGGACCGACAUUGACGCUGAUGAGCGAAAGCUGAGGGGAGCAAACGGGG